UACCGGAAGGAGCAGUGGAGGGAUAAGAAGGGAGAAUGCCGGAAUGAGUAGCGAGAGAAAGGUGGGAAUCCUUUCGGCCGAAUAUCUAAGGUUUCCAGAGUAAAGCUGAUCUGCUCUGGGUAAGUCGGGGCCUAAGCACAGGUCGCAAGACGUAAGCUAUGGAUAACAGGUUUAGAUUCCUGUACCACGCAUUAUCAGAACUGUAGGGACGCAUGUGGAAAGCACGAGCCGGGAAUGGAAAGACCGGUACAAGCGGGGUAGGUGUACAAUAGGCAAAUCCGUUGUAUGAUCCGAAGACGUGAUGUGGAGCGAAAUAAAGUAGCAAAGCGUGUGAGCCAUGUGCCGAGAAAAGCUGCUAUUGUGUAAUGCGUGCCCGUACCGUAAACCGACACAGGUGGAUGAGGAGAGAAUCCUAAGGCCGACGGAAGAAGCAUUGUUAAGGAAUUCGGCAAAAUGACCCCGUAACUUCGGGAGAAGGGGUGCCUGCGAGAGCAGGCCGCAGAGAAUAGGCUCAAGCAACUGUUUAGCAAAAACACAGGUCUAUGCGAAACCGAAAGGUGAAGUAUAUGGGCUGACGCCUGCCCGGUGCUGGAAGGUUAAGAGGAGAGGUUAUCGUAAGCGAAGCUUUGAAUUUAAGCCCCUGUAAACGGCGGCCGUAACUAUAACGGUCCUAAGGUAGCGAAAUUCCUUGUCGGGUAAGUUCCGACCCGCACGAAAGGCGUAAUGAUUUGAGCACUGUCUCGACAAUGCAUCCGGUGAAAUUGAAGUACCAGUGAAGAUGCUGGUUACCCGCGCCAGGACGGAAAGACCCCAUGGAGCUUUACUCCAGUUUGAUACUGGGAUUCGGUACUGCAUGUACAGGAUAGGUGGGAGACGAAGAAGGAUGGACGCCAGUCUGUCCGGAGUCGCUGUUGGGAUACCACCCCUGUAGUACUGGGUUUCUAACCAGUUGCCAUGAUCUGGUAAUGGGACAAUGUCAGGCGGGGAGUUUGACUGGGGCGGUCGCCUCCGAAAGGGUAUCGGAGGCGCUCAAAGGUUCCCUCAGAAUGGUUGGAAACCAUUUGAAGAGUGCAAAGGCAGAAGGGAGCUUGACUGCGACACCGACGGGUGGAGCAGGUACGAAAGAAGGACUUAGUGAUCCGGUGGUAUAAAGUGGGAUUGCCAUCGCUCAACGGAUAAAAGCUACCCUGGGAUAACAGGCUUAUCACUCCCAAGAGUUCACAUCGACGGAGUGGUUUGGCACCUCGAUGUCGGCUCAUCGCAUCCUGGGGCUGUAGCAGGUCCCAAGGGUUGGGCUGUUCGCCCAUUAAAGCGGUACGCGAGCUGGGUUCAGAACGUCGUGAGACAGUUCGGUCCCUAUCCGGCGCGGGCGGAGGAUAUUUGAGAGGAGCUGUCCUUAGUACGAGAGGACCGGGAUGGACGGACCACUGGUGUAUCUGUUGUCGACCAACGGCAUGGCAGAGUAGCCAAGUCUGGAAGGGAUAAACGCUGAAGGCAUCUAAGCGUGAAGCCCCCCUCAAGAUGAGAUAUCCCUCCUAUAAGGAGUAAGACCCCUUGAAGACUACAAGGUAGAUAGGGCAGAGGUGGAAGCAUGGCAACAUGUGGAGCUGACUGUUACUAAUAGGUCGAGGGCUUAAUC
rnacentral:rRNA from 1 species